rnacentral:rRNA from 1 species
UACGGGAGGCAGCAGNAAGGAAUUUUCCGCAAUGGGCGCAAGCCUGACGGAGCAACGCCGCGUGCGGGAUGACGCGUUUCGGGGUGUAAACCGCUGUUCGUGGGGACGAAGCACUGACGGUACCCACGGAGGAAGGCCCGGCUAACUACGUGCCAGCAGCCGCGGUAAUACGUAGGGGCCGAGCGUUGUCCGGAGUUACUGGGCGUAAAGCGUGCGCAGGCGGCCUGUCGCGCCCGGCGUGAAAGCCCCCGGCUCAACCGGGGAGGGUCGUCGGGGACGGGCAGACUUGAGGGCAGCAGGGGCUGGUGGAAUUCCCGGUGUAGUGGUGAAAUGCGUAGAGAUCGGGAGGAACACCCGUGGCGAAGGCGGCCAGCUGGGCUGGACCUGACGCUGAGGCACGAAGGCGUGGGGAGCGAACGGGAUUAGAUACCCCGGUAGUCCACGCAGUAAACGAUGCAGACUAGGCGUGGGGGGACUUGACCCCCUCCGUGCCGGAGCUAACGCGGGAA